AUUGAACGCUGGCGGCAUGCUUUACGCAUGCAAGUCGAACGGUAACAGGCCUUCGGGUGCUGACGAGUGGCGAACGGGUGAGUAAUGCAUCGGAACGUGCCCAGAGGUGGGGGAUAACGCAGCGAAAGCUGUGCUAAUACCGCAUGUGAUCUGAGGAUGAAAGCGGGGGACCAGGCAGCAAUGUUUGGCCUCGCGCCUUUGGAGCGGCCGAUGUCAGAUUAGGUAGUUGGUGGGGUAAAGGCCUACCAAGCCGACGAUCUGUAGCUGGUCUGAGAGGACGACCAGCCACACUGGGACUGAGACACGGCCCAGACUCCUACGGGAGGCAGCAGUGGGGAAUUUUGGACAAAGGGCGCAAGCCUGAUCCAGCAAUGCCGCGUGCGGGAAGAAGGCCUUCGGGUUGUAAACCGCUUUUGUACGGAACGAAAAGGCUCUGGCUAAUACCUGGGGCUGAUGACGGUACCGUAAGAAUAAGCACCGGCUAACUACGUG
rnacentral:rRNA from 1 species